AAAGAUAUUUUUAAAAACUUUUUGGAAGCUCAUAAAGGCCCUUGCAGGAUUUGAACGUGUGACUAACAGUAGUGAACGCUCUAACCCAUUGCAUUUAAGGUAACAAUGUUGGGAAAGAAAAAGUUUAUAAAAUUAUGCUUGAAUUCAUUGUUUAUUUUGAUGGUACCGGUAAGUUCAUCCCAACAUAGAGGUGUCUUAUACCACCUUAAGCAAUUUUUUUUCACUAAAUUAUAGCAUCAUUUAAGCUAUGCACAAAGGAUCAAAAUACAUAUUAAUACACAAAAAUUUCAUAUCUAUAUGAACAUUUACAUACAUGAUACUUUUAUAUUUAGGUUUCUAUAAUUUAUUAAGUGAUUUUUAAGUUAACACAAUUUUUUAUUGUUUCCAUUUAUGAUACUUAAGAAGUUUGAUAGGUUUUCAUAAUUAAUUUAUGAAGUGAUUAGAAUAAUUUUUCUUGAAAACAAUUAAAAAGUCCUGAAUGUUAAAAGCAUUACAUAAAAUUGUGAUAAUUUUGGAGAAAAUGUUCAAAAGAUUGUUACAUUACAACAAACAGUCUCGAGAGAAGAGCUAUUACAUGUUACAUUGACUGUAAAUAUAUAAUUAUGACUAUGGAAACAAUGCAAAAAUUGGGCAUUUUAUUAAAGUACAGUAUGGUGAUUAGGACAAAAUGUAUAAUUAUUUGUUUGUUUGUUAAACACUUUGCAACAUGCAUUUGAGUGAAUGUCAUAUUAUAAAAUGUGAAUUAUUUCCCUUAUGAUAGCCUUUUUCAUGAAACCUCUGUUAAAAGCUGAUCAGAUUUUCACCAUCAGGCUGAGUGCGGAAUGUUAAAUCAUGUUUAUGUUUGAUAACUGAACACAAUGAUAUUUUUUAGGUGCUUGUUUCAGAUCAGCCAAAAUUUUUUUUAUUAGAUUUCAGAUUUUAAAAAGUUAUUUAGCUAUAUUUUUUCUGUUUUUUAAAGAUAAACUAUUUUUUUUAAUUUAGUAUUUUUUUUUCGCUGGGAAGGAGAUUGGAUGCUUAGAUUAUAGAUAAAACUAUUUCACUACUCAUUUCAAGCUUGUGUCACUGGAAUAAAUACACAAGCACUCUUUUUUAAUAAAAACAAUAAAUAUCUCAGUCAUUUUUUACAUACUAGUAACUUUAGUGCUUGGAAAUUAAUAAAAAGGUACUUUAGGUAUUGAUUGAUUGUAAAUGAUAAUGUGUGCUGGUAAAAAUUGCUGUUUGAUAGUUUUGACUUUUGAAAUUUACAUGUUUUGAUAAAGUGCAUGCUAUAUUAGCAUUAUAAAGUGAGUGUUAUUCAGAUAGUGCAUAAUUUGUCUGUUGAAUUCAUUGAAUUUGUAAUGUAUACAUGUUCCUUGGUAUAUAAAACAAUAUAAAAUGAU
rnacentral:sRNA from 1 species